AACGAACGCUGGCGGCAGGCUUAACACAUGCAAGUCGAACGCCCGUAGCAAUACGGGAGUGGCGGACGGGUGAGUAACGCGUGGGAACGUGCCCUGAAGUACGGAAUAACUGCGGGAAACUGCAGCUAAUACCGUAUGAGCCCCUUACGGGGGAAAGAUUUAUCGCCUUAGGAGCGGCCCGCGUCGGAUUAGCUAGUUGGUGGGGUAACGGCUUACCAAGGCUUCGAUCCGGAGCUGGUCUGAGAGGACGAUCAGCCACACUGGGACUGAGACACGGCCCAGACUCCUACGGGAGGCAGCAGUGGGGAAUCUUGCGCAAUGGGGGCAACCCUGACGCAGCCAUGCCGCGUGAAUGAUGAAGGCCUUAGGAUUGUAAAAUUCUUUCACCGGGGAAGAUAAUGACGGUACCCGGAGAAGAAGCCCCGGCUAACUUCGUGCCAGCAGCCGCAGUAAAAC
rnacentral:rRNA from 1 species